GAUGAACGCUAGCGACAGGCCUAACACAUGCAAGUCGAGGGGCAGCGAAGAGGUAGCAAUACCUUUGUCGGCGACCGGCGCACGGGUGAGUAACACGUAUGCAAUCCACCUGUAACAGGGGGAUAACCCGGAGAAAUCCGGACUAAUACCCCAUAAUAUGGGCGCUCCGCAUGGAGAGCCCAUUAAAGAGAGCAAUUUUGGUUACAGACGAGCAUGCGCUCCAUUAGCCAGUUGGCGGGGUAACGGCCCACCAAAGCGACGAUGGAUAGGGGUUCUGAGAGGAAGGUCCCCCACAUUGGAACUGAGACACGGUCCAAACUCCUACGGGAGGCAGCAGUGAGGAAUAUUGGUCAAUGGUCGGCAGACUGAACCAGCCAAGUCGCGUGAGGGAAGACGGCCCUACGGGUUGUAAACCUCUUUUGUCGGAGAGUAAAGUACGCUACGUGUAGCGUAUUGCAAGUAUCCGAAGAAAAGCAUCGGCUAACUCCGUGCCAGCAGCCGCGGUAA
rnacentral:rRNA from 1 species